CUAAUAUUUAACAGCUAUAUAUUUUAGUAAAAAAAGAUCAUAAUAGGCACUCACAAAAUAAAUAAAUAAAUAUGCUUACAAGUUCCCCCUAUUUCCUUUUAUUAGUCAGGCUUUCUUGAAAAGGUCGCAAGCUCACACUUGUUUGGCUCUAUAGCACUUCUUGCGAAAAGUGGGAAUCUUUCUCUAACUGAAUUAAUGUUAGAAUGGAGCCGAACAAGUUUAUGUUUUUAUGCGACUUCAAGAGUUGACAAAGGUUUAAGUUCUGAGCUCCAGAAUCAGAACUGGAGAGUUCUUUCUGUAGCUAAUGAAUGUAGCAUAGAGGUUCCUGGUGUUUUAAAUGUUCAGAGGCUUCAGCAGUUGCUUCUCACCUUGGCUACUCUAAUAAAAAGGGAACUAUGUGACUCAUCUGUUCUGGUGAUUGGAUAUAUAAUGAAAAAAAUCCUGUGAGGAAAACUUCGCAAGGGCAAGUUACUUUAGAGUUU